CUACGGGAGGCACCAGUGGGGAAUAUUGCACAAUGGGCGCAAGCCUGAUGCAGCCAUGCCGCGUGUAUGAAGAAGGCCUUCGGGUUGUAAAGUACUUUCAGCGGGGAGGAAGGGAGUAAAGUUAAUACCUUUGCUCAUUGACGUUACCCGCAGAAGAAGCACCGGCUAACUCCGUGCCAGCAGCCGCGGUAAUACGGAGGGUGCAAGCGUUAAUCGGAAUUACUGGGCGUAAAGCGCACGCAGGCGGGUGUGUUAAGUCAGAUGUGAAAUCCCCGGGCUCAACCUGGGAACUGCAUCUGAUACUGGCAAGCUUGAGUCUCGUAGAGGGGGGUAGAAUUCCAGGUGUAGCGGUGAAAUGCGUAGAGAUCUGGAGGAAUACCGGUGGCGAAGGCGGCCCCCUGGACGAAGACUGACGCUCAGGUGCGAAAGCGUGGGGAGCAAACAGGAUUAGAUACCCGGGUAGUC
rnacentral:rRNA from 1 species